GUAACACGUAUGCAACCUACCCUUUACUGGGGCAUAGCUCAGAGAAAUCUGAAUUAAUUCCCCAUAAUACAAUUGAAUGGCAUCAUUUAAUUAUUAAAGCUGAGGCGGUAAAGGAUGGGCAUGCGUUGCAUUAGCUAGUUGGUGAGGUAAUAGCUCACCAAGGCUACGAUGCAUAGGGGUUCUGAGAGGAUGAUCCCCCACACUGGUACUGAGACACGGACCAGACUCCUACGGGAGGCAGCAGUAGGGAAUAUUGGUCAAUGGACGCAAGUCUGAACCAGCCAUGCCGCGUGCAGGAAGACGGCCCUCUGGGUUGUAAACUGCUUUUAUAUGGGAAGAAACCUCAUUAUGCGUAAUGAACUGACGGUACCAUAUGAAUAAGGAUCGGCUAACUUCGUGCCAGCAGCCGCGGUAAGACGAAGGAUCCAAGCGUUGUCCGGAUUUACUGGGUUUAAAGGGUGCGUAGGCGGAAUUUUAAGUCAGUGGUGAAAGCCCUUCGCUCAACGAAGGAACUGCCAUUGAAACUGAAAUUCUUGAAUACGGUUGAGGUAGAUGGAAUAUAACAUGUAGCGGUGAAAUGCUUAGAUAUGUUAUAGAACACCGAUUGCGAAGGCAGUCUACUAAGCCGUGAUUGACGCUGAGGCA
rnacentral:rRNA from 1 species